GGUAGCUCAGUGGCAGAGCAAUCGGCUGUUAACCGAUCGGUCGUUGGUUCGAAUCCAACC
rnacentral:tRNA from 1 species